UACGAAGGGGACUAGCGUUGUACGGAAUUACUGGGCGUAAAGCGCACGUAGGCGGAUUUGUAAGUCAGGGGUGAAAUCCCGGGGCUCAACCUCGGAACUGCCUUUGAUACUGCAAAUCUCGAGUCCGAUAGAGGUGGGUGGAAUUCCUAGUGUAGAGGUGAAAUUCGUAGAUAUUAGGAAGAACACCGGUGGCGAAGGCGGCCCUCUGGGCCGGGUCUGACGCUGAGGCGCGAAGGCGUGGGGAGCGAUCCGG
rnacentral:rRNA from 1 species